UAACGACUUUGUUACAAGUCUCAACUCGCGACUCGAGCGGAUAAUAAUUUACUCACGUUUCUCGAUUUCGACUGCAAUCACGCUUCUUGGUCACCACUCAUCUCUCAAUUCAUUUCAUUUCUUUUUAUCACCUCUCAAUAUCCCUACUACGCACGCGUUCGUUAGACUUUCGCGACCGUGGUCACGCACGCUUUCUUUCGUGUUUGGCGAAAGGACCGUAGGGAUAUCGAUAGCUCAUUAGGCCUGUCGACGCUUACCCUUCGUCGUGACCUUGCUUAUGUUUUGUCGGUCUCUCGUAAACAGUCUAUGUGGUAUACUAUGUACCGAUGAAACCGUUGGAAAGUUCUUUGCCGUCGAAUGCCGCUACAUAUCACUUUGGAUGAUUAUUAUAACAUAAGCGAUUUUUCAAGGUGAAUUAUACCUUGCACCAGAUUUUUUGGUACCACCAAAUAGUGAUUAUGAUGCAUAUCAUCAGUACGUCGAUAACUACUUACCUGCUGAAAGUCCUGUUCUGUAUGGACUUCAUCCCAAUGCAGAAAUUGGGUUUUUAACACAAACUGUGGAAAAUCUGUUUAAAACGUUAUUGGGUAUACUAACAAGAACUGCCAGCGAUACAACAAGCGGAGAUAUUUCAAAAGAAGACAAAAUAAAAGGACAAAUAGAAGACUUAUUGGACAAACUACCAGAAGAAUUCAAUAUGCUAGAACUUUACAGCAAGGUGGAAGAUCGUACACCAUUUGUCACAGUUGCUUUACAAGAAUGCGAACGCAUGAAUCUACUGUGUGAAGAACUUAGAAGGUUAGGCUUAAAAGUAAUGACAAAUAUUUAUGCAUUUUUACAUUUUUACAUUUUACGCAAUCGCACACAUGAUCCCUCGCAUGCACGACAUAUACAGAAGGCUAUAUGUAACUAGGGUAAACUACAGUUCAGAAACAAUAUAAGAUAGCAAACCAACACUGUGCCCGGAUUUAUGGGCAGGAGUUAUCCCCCACUAAUUUCUAGAAUUGUUUGCUCGUAAUAAGAAAUAUACUAAGAAAUAAUUUUAUCUAUUCUGUCUUGCACUGUCUGUUUCUAACCUCUAUCAGAGAGGAAAUUUCUCUCUGCCCCUACCUUCGGUGCACGCAUUGUAUAGACCUGUAGAGUAAGUGCGAAUUUUAAUAAUUUAAUAUUUAUAUAUUUUAUUAUAAUUUGAUAAUUUAAUAUAAUAAUUAAGAUAAUUUGGCCCAAUUCGAUAUUUGAAUCUUUUUCCAUA